UACGGAGGAUGCGAGCGUUAUCCGGAUUUAUUGGGUUUAAAGGGUGCGUAGGCGGCUUUUUAAGUCAGCGGUGAAAUUUUGCAGCUUAACUGUAACAGUGCCGUUGAUACUGGGGAGCUAGGAUUUGGUUGCUGUGGGUGGAAUGUGUGGUGUAGCGGCGAAAUGCUUAGAGAUCACGCAGAAUAUCGAUUGCGAAGGCAGCUCACAAAGCCAAGAUUGACGCUGAGGCACGAAAGUGUGGGGAUCAAACAGGAUUA
rnacentral:rRNA from 1 species